rnacentral:rRNA from 1 species
AACGAACGCUGGCGGCAUGCCUAACACAUGCAAGUCGAACGAGACCUUCGGGUCUAGUGGCGCACGGGUGCGUAACGCGUUGGAACCUGCCCUUAGGUUCGGAAUAACUCCCCGAAAGGGGUGCUAAUACCGGAUAAUGUCUUCGGACCAAAGAUUUAGCGCCUUUGGAUGGGCCCGCGUUGGUUUAGCUCGUUGGUAGGGUAAAAGCCUACCAAGGAGAAGAUCCAUAUCUGGUCUGAGAGGAGGAACAGCCACACUGGGACUGAGACACGGCCCAGACUCCUACGGGAGGCAGCAGUGGGGAAUAUUGGAAAGGGGGCGAGAGCCUGAUCCAGCUAUGCCGCGUGAGUGAUGAAGGCCUUAGGGGUGUAAAGCUCUUUUAGCCGGGAUGAUAAUGACAGUACCGGGAGAAUAAGCUCCGGCUAACUCCGUG